rnacentral:rRNA from 1 species
GAAAGUAAGCAAGGGCGCAUGGCGGAUGCCUUGGCUCUCGGAGGCGAUGAAGGACGUGAUAAGCUGCGAUAAGCUUCGGGCAGGUGCAAAUAACCUUUGAUCCGAAGAUUUCCGAAUGGGACAACCCGUCAUUCUGAAGGAAUGACAUCUUGCAUAGCAAGAGGCUAACGCAGGGAACUGAAACAUCUUAGUACCUGCAGGAAAAGAAAAUAAACAAUGAUUCCCCCAGUAGUGGCGAGCGAACGGGGAACAGCCCAAACCAUCCAUGUUACGGCAUGGGUGGGGUUGUAGGACCACGCCGUGGCAAGAAAGUUGGUGAGCAGAAUGUUCUGGAAAGUACAGCCAUAGAGCAUGACAGCUGCGUAUGCGAAGCCAAGCGAAGCCUAGUGGUAUCCUGAGUAGCGCGGAGCACGAGGAAUUCUGCGUGAAUCUGCCGGGACCAUCCGGUAAGGCUAAAUACUCCCGAGAGACCGAUAGUGAACCAGUACUGUGAAGGAAAGGUGAAAAGCACUUCGAACAGAAGAGUGAAAUAGUUCCUGAAACCAUGUGCCUACAAGCGGUCGGAGCACCUUUUGGUGUGACGGCGUGCCUUUUGCAUAAUGAACCUACGAGUUACUUUUUCCGGCGAGGUUAAGGAUUUCAGAUCUGCAGCCGAAGCGAAAGCGAGUCUGAACAGGGCGUAUAGUCGGAAGGAGUAGACGCGAAACCAAGUGAUCUACCCUUGGGCAGGUUGAAGGAUGGGUAACACCAUCUGGAGGACCGAACCAAUAAGCGUUGAAAAGCUUCUGGAUGACCUGAGGGUGGGGGUGAAAGGCUAAUCAAACUUGGAGAUAGCUCGUACUCCCCGAAAUGCAUUUAGGUGCAGCCUUGGGAAUUACUACUGUGAGGUAGAGCGACUGAUAAGAUGCGAGGGCUUCACCGCCUAUCAAGUCUUGACAAACUCCGAAUGCGUGUCAGUUCUAUGUCAGGAGUGAGGGCAUGGGUGCUAAGGUCCAUGUCCUAAAGGAGAACAAUCCGGACCAACAGCUAAGGUCCCGAAAUGAAUACUAAGUUGAACUAACGAAGUCAGAUUGCUAAGACAGCUAGGAUGUUGGCUUGGAAGCAGCCAUUCAUUUAAAGAGUGCGUAACAGCUCACUAGUCGAGGAGUUUGGCGUGGAUAAUAAUCGGGCAUAAGUAUUCUACCGAAGCUUUGGGAUGAGAAAUCAUCGGUAGGGGAGCAUUCCACUCGGCGUCGAAGGUGAGGCGCGAGCCUUGCUGGAGCGUGUGGAAAAGCAAAUGUAGGUAUAAGUAACGAUAAGGCAGGCGAGAAACCUGCCCGCCGAAAGACUAAGGUUUCCUGAUCAACGCUAAUCGGAUCAGGGUAAGUCGGGUCCUAAGGCUCAGCCGAACGGCGAGGCCGAUGGCAGAACCGGUUAAUAUUCCGGUACUACCUGUGGGAGUGACGUGGAGACGGAGUCGUGACAGCGCCGCGGACUGACGGAAUAGUCCGUUGAAGGGUGUAGAUGCUGAUUGUUCCAGGCAAAUCCGGAGCAAGAGUCGAACCUGAUAGUAUGGAGCGUUCUUAGAACAAUCCAAUAGUGCGUGUAAUCAUACUUCCAAGAAAAUCCGCUAAACUUAAUCCUGCAGGUACCCGUACCGCAAACGGACACACGUAGUCGGGUUGAAUAUACUAAGGCGCUUGAGUGAUUCACGGUUAAGGAACUAGGCAAACUGACCCUGUAACUUCGGGAUAAAGGGUCCUCGCUUAACGGCGAGGCGCAGAGAAUAGGUCCAGGCAACUGUUUAACAAAAACACAGGGCUGUGCAAAAUUGAAAGAUGAAGUAUACAGCCUGACACCUGCCCGGUGCUGGAAGGUUAAGAGGAGAUGUCAUCGCAAGAGAAGCAUUGAAUUGAAGCCCCAGUAAACGGCGGCCGUAACUAUAACGGUCCUAAGGUAGCGAAAUUCCUUGUCGGGUAAGUUCCGACC